AGGAGACCAGCUUUAAGUCAUGCUGGUCCACUGGGAGGUGAUUUCCCAUUAUUCACCAGAGAAGGACAUAAUGUUCUUGAUCUCUUCUUUACAUCUCCCAUACAGAAUCUAGCUGAAGUAAGAGAGAGCCUGGAUAACAUUGAUGGGGUUGUGGACCAUGGAAUCAUAUCUGGAGUGCCCUGCACAGUGGUAAUCGCUUCAGAAAAUGGACUACAAGUUGUGACUAAUUUGUCGAAGAAUGCAAUCAGAUGAUUGUAAUCUUGGUCUGUAGCCAAGAUUACGAUUAGCCCACUUAUAUUUUUGAUGGGUUAACUUCUUCAGAAUUAGGUGGGAAAAUAGAUGUAUAACCGCCCAAUUGUUGGAAUAUUCAGAAUGUAAUAUGGAUUAAGAAUGGUGGUAUUUUAGGAAGUAGAUUAUAUUCAGGGACAUUGUUAUAAUAUCAGACGUGUGAGGAGUUUGUUUUGU